rnacentral:tRNA from 1 species
GUUUUUAUAGUUUAUUUAAAAUACAGUGUUGAAAAUACUGAGAAGAUAAUUCUAAGAAUA